GGGGGUACAGCUCAGUGGUAGAGUGCAUGCUUCGUAGGCACGAGGUCCUGGGUUCAAUCCCCAGUACGUCCA
rfam:Camelus ferus unplaced genomic scaffold scaffold334, whole genome shotgun sequence.